GCAGGGCGGAAGAAACCCCCUUUCAUAGUUUGCAUACGCGGAAGAAACCCCCUCGCUAGUUUUGCAUAGGCGGAACAAACCCCCUUCGAGUUUUCAGACAGGCGGAAUAAACCCCCUUCCAUAGCGGAACAAACCCCCUUCCAGACGAUUUAGUUACAUUUAAACGCACGGUAAUUGUUUACAGAAAUUCACUUUCAUUUUCAGAAAGUUCUCGGUAAGCACGUUUUUUUGCAUGAUUCAAUUUUUUUUAAAGACGAAUGCUUCGGUUAUUAUAGGAAAAUAUGUACGAAAUAUCUUCGUCACUAUCGGCUCUGGGCGCUAAUUUUGUGUGUUUGUUAUUUUUGUCAAUCAAGUACAAGUUAACGCAUAUAAAAUUAUAUAAUCUCACUGAAACGCGUGCAAGACAAAUACACACGAGCAUCUCAUCAUUAACAACUUGUGAACAAACGGCCGGUACACCUCUUUACUCAGCACAUAACAGUUUGGAAAUAGAUAUUCGCACCUGCAUUUAAUUAUAUAAAAGGUCCUUUAAUGUACCGGCUAUUGUAGAUAAUGAUGAGAAGUUGUGUCAUGAUCGGCGCCUUUGCGGCUCGUGUGAAGUUAUGUACAGUUUUUUUUUAAUUUAAUUUGCUCGAUUAAUUGGUAUGUAUAUAUAUACACAUCGUUGGUAUUUCGAAUAUAUCAAUAAUGGAGAUCAUCAAGAACAACAAGGGUGGGCAGAAGUUGUGUUACUAGGGGUACUGCUACACGAAGAAAGCAAAGUCAGCGGUUAGCCAGCGUUGGGAGUGUGACCAACGGGGUUCACAGAAAUGCCGUGCUAUUGCUACCACUGAUCUAGAGCUCACCGUAGUGAAGUCAGUGACAGAGCACACCCAUGCCGCCGACAUGUUCAAGGGAAAGACUUAACACUUAGGAAGGGGGUUUAUUCCGCCUGUCUGAAAACACGAAGGGGGUUUA